rnacentral:misc_RNA from 1 species
UCGAACCCUGCAAGGCAGAACGACCAGUGAACAUGUAAUUACUAUCGGGUGAUGGGGAGACGGACCUUGGUUCUUAAUCCCAUCCCCUCUCCAUAUGCGUUUGUGGUGCCUCUUUUGGGGUGCCAUGUAUGUCAUGUUGGAACAUAACAAACCCCGGCACGGCAUGUGCCAAGGAAAACAAAAUUGAGUAGGACUCAUCCUGUGUUGCCCCGUUUGCGGUGUGCAUGACGGAUGUGGCCUCUUUAUAAUUACAAACGACUCUCGGCAACGGAUAUCUCGGCUCACGCAUCGAUGAAGAACGUAGCAAAAUGCGAUACUUGGUGUGAAUUGCAGAAUCCCGUGAACCAUCGAGUUUUUGAACGCAAGUUGCGCCCGAAGCCAUCCGGCCGAGGGCACGCCUGCCUGGGCGUCACGCAUCGCGUCGCCCCCACCAAAGUUACCUAACCGGUAAUCAUGUUGUUGGGGGCGGAGAUUGGCCUCCCGUACCUGUUGCGGUUGGCCUAAAAUGGAGUCCCCUUCAGCGGACACACGACUAGUGGUGGUUGAACAGACCCUYGUCUUUAUCGUGUGUCAUGAGCUGCUAGGGAGCCCUCUUCAAAGACCCCAUCGUAUCGUCUUUGGACGGUGCUUCGACC